CUGCAGUCGACGGUGAAGCAGAGCUUGCUCUGUGGAUCAGUGGCGAACGGGUGAGUAACACGUGAGCAAUCUGCCCCUGACUCUGGGAUAAGCGCUGGAAACGGCGUCUAAUACCGGAUACGAGCUGCGACCGCAUGGUCAGUAGCUGGAAAGAAUUUCGGUCAGGGAUGAGCUCGCGGCCUAUCAGCUUGUUGGUGAGGUAAUGGCUCACCAAGGCGUCGACGGGUAGCCGGCCUGAGAGGGUGACCGGCCACACUGGGACUGAGACACGGCCCAGACUCCUACGGGAGGCAGCAGUGGGGAAUAUUGCACAAUGGGCGAAAGCCUGAUGCAGCAACGCCGCGUGAGGGAUGACGGCCUUCGGGUUGUAAACCUCUUUUAGCAGGGAAGAAGCGAAAGUGACGGUACCUGCAGAAAAAGCGCCGGCUAACUACGUGCCAGCAGCCGCGGUAAUACGUAGGGCGCAAGCGUUAUCCGGAAUUAUUGGGCGUAAAGAGCUCGUAGGCGGUCUGUCGCGUCUGCUGUGAAAACCCGAGGCUCAACCUCGGGCCUGCAGUGGGUACGGGCAGACUAGAGUGCGGUAGGGGAGAUUGGAAUUCCUGGUGUAGCGGUGGAAUGCGCAGAUAUCAGGAGGAACACCGAUGGCGAAGGCAGAUCUCUGGGCCGUAACUGACGCUGAGGAGCGAAAGGGUGGGGAGCAAACAGGCUUAGAUACCCUGGUAGU
rnacentral:rRNA from 1 species